UCUGUUCUAAAGGUGACGUGUCACACUCUCAAUGAAAGCUUGGUUACCCUUUAUUUUUCAUUGGCUUCGACAUUUCUUUUUCUUCUUCUCUCGCAAACGGCGCGAAGCGGCGAGAGAUUUGUGUUCUCAUCACCGUCGUCUUUGGGUUCUUCUUCUUCUUCUUCUUCUAUUAAAACCCCAAGAGCCUUUGUCUUCGUCUCUGACCACUUCGCUCCGACGUCUCUGCUACCGCUCACCUUCACGAGGCUUCUGGUUCAUCGUUCUCUUUUGGUUCGGUUUCUCAGGAUGGUUUAAAGAGAAUGUCAUGAGUUCAGGACAUGGUGUUUCGUUUCAGAAUCAAAAUCAGCAAGCCAGAGCUGAUGCUAGUUGUGUUACUACUACUACUACUACUACUAAGAACAAGAAGCAGAAGCAGUCGGUUCCUGGUGCCUUGUUUGAUGAUGAUAAGACUAAAACACACUUUGCCAAUCUGUGAAAAGAAAAGUUAGAGGAUAAUGAUGGAGCGCGCGACGUGAGAAAAACAUCAGCCUAGAGUGUAAAUUGUAAUAGCAUCACAAUCAAUCUUCAUCUAUUCAAGUGUAAAGAAUCUUUAGUUUCUUUCGCUACUUCCGAAGCAUACUCUUUGAAACAGUAGUUGAAUUUGUAAAUACGCCGUUUGUCUUAUUAUUCAGAAACCAGAAUCUAGCAGUAACAAAUGUGAGUAAUUGGGGAGUUA